UCGUCAGCUCGUGUCGUGAGAUGUUGGGUUAAGUCCCGCAACGAGCGCAACCCCUGCCGUUAGUUGCUACCCGGAACGGCGAGCCCUUUAAGGGGACUGCCGGGGAUAAGCCGGAGGAAGGUGGGGAUGACGUCAGGUCAGUAUGCCCCUUAUGCCCGGGGCAACACAGGCGCUACAGUGGCCAGGACAAUGGGAUGCAACCCAGCAAUGGGGAGCAAAUCCCCCAAACCUGGUCAUGGUCAGAUUGAGGGCUGAAACUCGCCCUCAGAA
rnacentral:rRNA from 1 species